UUACCUGGUCUUGACGAUCCCGGAGACCCUUAGGAAACUAGGGGUGCUUCCAUCUGGAAGAAUCUGGAGACAGGUGCUGCAUGGCUGUCGUCAGCUCGUGUCGUGAGAUGUUGGGUUAAGUCCCGCAACGAGCGCAACCCUUGCCUUUAGUUGCCAGCAGUUCGGCUGGGCACUCUAAAGGGACUGCCGGUGUUAAACCGGAGGAAGGUGGGGAUGACGUCAAGUCCUCAUGGCCUUUAUGACCAGGGCUACACACGUACUACAAUGGCCGAUACAAAGGGCAGCGACACUGCGAGGUGAAGCCAAUCCCGUAAAAUCGGUCUCAGUCCGGAUUGGAGUCUGCAACUCGACUCCAUGAAGUUGGAAUCGCUAGUAAUCGUGGAUCAGCAUGCCACGGUGAAUACGUUCCCGGGCCUU
rnacentral:rRNA from 1 species